rnacentral:rRNA from 1 species
CCUACGGGUGGCAGCAGUGGGGAAUCUUGCACAAUGGGGGCAACCCUGAUGCAGCGACGCCGCGUGAGCGAUGAAGCCCUUCGGGGUGUAAAGCUCUUUCGGCAGGAACGCGGUACCUGAAGAAGAAGCUGCGGCUAACUACGUGCCAGCAGCCGCGGUAAUACGUAGGCAGCAAGCGUUGUUCGGAGUUACUGGGCGUAAAGAGUGUGUAGGCGGUUCUCUAAGUUCCGUGUGAAAUCUCCCGGCUCAACUGGGAGGGUGCGCGGGAAACUGGAGGGCUUGAGUAUGGGAGAGGAAAGCGGAAUUCCUGGUGUAGCGGUGAAAUGCGUAGAUAUCAGGAGGAACACCUGCGGUGUAGACAGCUUUCUGGACCAUACUGACGCUGAGACACGAAAGCGUGGGUAGCAAACAGGAUUAGAUACCCCUGUAGUC